rnacentral:rRNA from 1 species
GACGAACGCUGGCGGCGUGCCUAACACAUGCAAGUCGACCUUAGUGGCGAACGGGUGAGUAACACGUGGGUAACCUGACCAUCAGAAGUGGAUAACACUUGGAAACCGGUGCUACUACCGUAUAUGGAUGGAUGGACCCGGGUGGCAUUAGCUAGUUGGUGAGGUAACGGCUCACCAAGGACACGAUGCAUAGCUGACCUGAGAGGGUGAGCGGCCACAUUGGGACUGAGACACGGCCCAUACUCCUACGGGAGGCAGCAGUGGGGAAUCUUCGGCAAUGGACGAAAGCCUGACCGAGCAACGCCGCGUGAGUGAAGAAGGUUUUCGGAUCGUAAAGCUCUGUUGUUAGAGAAGCGUUAUCUAACCAGAAAGCCACGGCUAACUACGUGCCAGCAGCCGCGGUAAUAC